UCAGUCUGUCAUCAUGAAGAGGAAUAUUUCAGCUCAUAUCAGCUUGACAGUCAUAUGUGCAGGCUUAUGGUGAUACUUUUACAGACUUGUAGCCAAAGUUCCUCAGCCUUUCCUUUCCUGGUAAAAGCUCAAAUUUGAUGUUGGGUUAUAACUUUUUACGAUGAUCAGCCCAGCAGAGCUAUUUUAAUGUAGAAUGGAGGUUCUGUUAUUUUAGGGCAACUUAGUGGUGACUGACAUGUUGGUCUACAGGAAAAAGCUGGGUCAUGAAACUGCCAUCAGAUUUUCAGUGAUUUUUCUCCUGACAGAUGCAGGGAGAGGUUUAACGUGGCCUCUCCUUUCCUGCUGCACAGAGAAUUAAACACUUUCUUCUCUCAUGGGACAAGGACAUGGUGGGUCCUCUCUGGCACGUCCAGGUGGGAAUCAAGCACCAUCCUGGGGACCCACUCCUUGUCCUUCGAAUACCUCAGAGUCAAAACUGUGCCCUGCAACCUCCCAGAGUGUCCUUCUGGAGGCCUGCAAGCGCUCGAGGAUGAAAAGCUGUGCGAUGCCUGGAACAUCUGUGUUCGCUUGCUGGUCUUUGCUCCUCACGUAAAUCCCACCGCUCACACAUCCAGAGGUGGUGGCAUUCCCUUUACAGCCCUUGGCUGAGUGUUCCCAGGUCCUUCCAGAGAGGAUGGGGGCUGUGAUGCCCAGUGUAGACAUGGCCAUGGGAACCUGCAGCAGCGCAGGCUCAGAGCCAGCACUGGUGGGACUCAUAAAAGAUGACUGUGCAGACUGCAAGAUUGUCUGCUCUGAUGCUCAUUUUAUAUUUCCAGCAUCUUCUUCCAUCUCCUUUCACUCAUCUCUCCAAGCUUCAACUCGUUUCAACAGGAAAAACAUUCAACACCUUUAACAUACACUGAACCAGCCAGGACUUCCUUUCCAUUUUGGUUGAUUUUUAUUUUAUGGUCUCUAGAAGGUUGUAUACAAUUACCCACUAAAUGCUAAUACAUCUCUUUAGUUUUUC